rnacentral:lncRNA from 1 species
UUUUUCUCUCUCCUCAUUUAAACAGGAUAGCCGCUGAGCAAGCCUGUAAGGCUAUUGGUCUGCCCAUUCUGGUUUCUUCACCAAUGAGAAAACUGGGACCUGGGGAGUUUGCAGAAGCCAUCCAAGGGCACCUGCUUCUCACAGCACAGCAGCUUCCUGCAGCCCUCCCUCCUGUCUUGUUUCUCCCUUGGUUGAGAGGGGAGGCCAGAACCAGAUGCAGGCAGUUCCAACAGUAAUGAAUUGCUCUAAGGUGUGGAGCCAAGAACCGGUGACAAGGUCAGGAAAUUCCAUCCCAGGACACUGACCCAACUAAGAGACUGUGCAUGAUGGCUAAGUUCAGAGCUCUGAGGAGAUGGUAAAACUCAUUUGCAAUGAAACAAGAUAUUUCCCAACUCUGCAGCCAGCUCCUCUUCCCCUCAGGCUGUGAGUGGAUGCAGCCUGAGGCCUCCCCAGAAGCAGAUCCUGGCGCCAUGCUUUCUGUACAGCCUGCAAAACUGUGCAGAAAGCUGGAAGUGAUGCUCCAGGGAGUUUAUGUCUCCCCAUCUUGACCCACACCAAUACCUGAGGCUCAUUG